CACGUAGGGCGCAAGCGUUGUCCGGAAUUAUUGGGCGUAAAGAGCUCGUAGGCGGUUUGUCGCGUCGACUGUGAAAACCUACAGCUUAACUGUGGGCUUGCAGUCGAUACGGGCAGACUUGAGUUCGGUAGGGGAGACUGGAAUUCCUGGUGUAGCGGUGAAAUGCGCAGAUAUCAGGAGGAACACCGGUGGCGAAGGCGGGUCUCUGGGCCGAUACUGACGCUGAGGAGCGAAAGCGUGGGGAGCGAAACAGG
rnacentral:rRNA from 1 species